AUCGCUUCUCGGCCUUUUGGCUAAGAUCAAGUGUAGUCUAGUGAGUGUUACAAAUGUUUAGUACAAGAAAUUGCACUACUUUUUUGAUGGUAUAAACUAAU
rnacentral:snRNA from 1 species